rnacentral:piRNA from 1 species
UCAUCUACCUUAACUAACAGCUGUGCCUCCAC